rnacentral:rRNA from 1 species
AUUGAGCGCUGGCGGCAGGCCUAACACAUGCAAGUCGAGCGGAUGACGGGAGCUUGCUCCUUGAUUCAGCGGCGGACGGGUGAGUAAUGCCUAGGAAUCUGCCUGGUAGUGGGGGACAACGUUUCGAAAGGAACGCUAAUACCGCAUACGUCCUACGGGAGAAAGCAGGGGACCUUCGGGCCUUGCGCUAUCAGAUGAGCCUAGGUCGGAUUAGCUAGUAGGUGAGGUAAUGGCGCACCUAGGCGACGAUCCGUAACUGGUCUGAGAGGAUGAUCAGUCACACUGGAACUGAGACACGGUCCAGACUCCUACGGGAGGCAGCAGUGGGGAAUAUUGGACAAUGGGCGAAAGCCUGAUCCAGCCAUGCCGCGUGUGUGAAGAAGGUCUUCGGAUUGUAAAGCACUUUAAGUUGGGAGGAAGGGCAGUAAGCGAAUACCUUGCUGUUUUGACGUUACCGACAGAAUAAGCACCGGCUAACUCUGUGCCAGCCGCCGCAGUAAAAC